rnacentral:tRNA from 1 species
ACAGUCGAGGCCGAGUGGUUAAGGCGAAGACUAGAAAUCCAUUGGGGUCUCGCCACACAGGUUCGAAUCCUGUCGACUGCG